ACAUAUGUCAAAGGGGAGUAGCUAUAGGGAAACCUAUUUCAUAAUCGUCAUUACAUGGCGUAAGCCAUCGGUUAUGAUAGUAAUUUUUAAAAUUGCUUAGCAAGACCUUUGCCUUUUAAUAGGCAUGGGUCUUUUUAUUUGCAAAAAAGGAGGAUAUU
rnacentral:sRNA from 2 species